rnacentral:tRNA from 2 species
GGCAGGUUGCCCGAGCGGCCAAUGGGAGUGGACUGUAAAUCCAUCGCGAAAGCUUCGAAGGUUCGAAUCCUUCACCUGCCACCA